GUUACAUAUAUAUAAAUAUACAACAUGGCUGGAUUAUAGAACGGCCACCUCUGCGAAAGGACAUAUGCAAGGCGAGUUUAGUCCUGAUUAAGAACAUCCCAACAAUACAGUUGGAGUUGUUUUAGGGUUAGACGAGUCCCACGUUACGUUGUUUUAAAGAUGCAUAGUCUCACUAAAGCAACGCUGGUUUGAAAUGGAAUUGGGCGGCGGUGUGUUGCUAUGAAUCGUUUUUCAGGAGCAAGAAUCAUUUGCAGGGGACUCGCGUGUGCAGCAGAACAUGGGGAACAUGAAAGGAGCUUUAUGAUGUCAUUAUAUCUGGAGGAGGAAUGGUUGGGACCGCUAUGGCUUGGUCUUUAGCAUCAAUCAGGCACGGAUCCAAGCUUGGAGGGGAAGAAGAUUCUGCUGCUUGAGGCAGGCAACAAAAAGGUGUUGGAGCAUGGAAUCAUAUUAUGAACAUGAGAUGUAAGCCCUAUCAGAAGAUGCAGUUCAGUUUUUGGAAACUCCACUCUACCACAAGCACUAAAGGUUUGGGAUGCCUGCUCAGAUGCCCUGAUUACAUUCGAUAAGGAGAACCUGCAGGACGAGAUGGCAUACAUUGUGGAGAACGACAUCAUUGUGGCAGCCCUAACAAAACAGCUGGAGAAUCUGUCUGAUCAGGUGAAGGUCCAGUACAAAACCAAGGUGGUGAUGUACACUUGGCCCAAGUCUCACCAGGUAGCUGAAUCCAUCCCCUGGGUUCAGGUCACCCUGGCCAAUGGACAGACAUUUCAAACCAAAUUACUGAUUGGAGCAGAUGGGCCAAAUUUGAUGGUGAGGCAGGAGGCGGAGAUACCUACGGUCAAGUGGAAUUACGACCAAUCAGCUGUUGUGGCUGUCUUGCAUCUGUGAGAUCCAACAGAGAACAAUGUUGCGUGGCAGAGAUUCCUUCCAACAGGACCCAUAGCAAUGUUACCGGGGCCAUGCAGUAUCUGUUGGAAUAUGAGGCGGAACGGCAGCGACACAACCUGCCCAUGAUGGCCGCCAUCGACCUGAUGAAACGACUCUACUCAACUAACGCUGCCCAUGUGGUUCUCUUACGCACCUUCGGUCUGCAAGCCACCAACACAUUACCAGCCAUAAAAGAGCAGAACAUGGCGUUUGCAAGCGAGUGACACGUACACUGGUCCUGAAGUGGCAGUUUGACGGGACUCCAAAGAUGAUAUGCCACUGUGACUUUGUGAAUGGAAUGUAAAGUGUAAAUGAAUAAAGUUAUAUAUUAUGCUCUGUUAUUACAUGAACAUCGCUAUACCUGCAUGUCUUUCUUUGUGUGUUGUUGAUAUUGGAAACUUCCAAGCAUCAUUCUGUAUCACAGUUUCACAAUCUGUUGGAAUUUUUAUGACAGAAAAUUUGUUUCAGAAAACAUGUAUUUACAAUGUUUUGCAAAUGUAUUGAGAAUGAAAUGCAUAAAUAUAUAAUUUACUUAAGUAUUCA